UACGGGGGGGGUAAGCGUUGUUCGGAAUACUGGGCGUAAAGGGCUCGUAGGCGGCCAACUAAGUCGGACGUGAAAUCCCUCAGCUUAACUGGGGAACUGCGUCCGAUACUGGAUGGCUUGGAUUUGGGAGAGGGAUGCGGAAUUCCAGGUGUAGCGGUGAAAUGCGUAGAUAUCUGGAGGAACACCGGUGGCGAAGGCGGCAUCCUGGACCAAUAUUGACGCUGAGGAGCGAAAGCCAGGGGAGCAAA
rnacentral:rRNA from 1 species